rnacentral:rRNA from 1 species
AUGGCGAUCUUCAAGAGGAACACCGCCGCGCUGAUCUUGGCCGCCCUCGCUGUCAUGGCCGCCGUCCUCUCCACAUGUUGCCUCGCAGACGAGGGAGAGAGAUGCUUUCCGCCUAUCUCGGGGCCGGACUGCAACCUGAGGCACUGCCGGAAGCUGUGCGGGGAGAAGUCGAGAGCACGCUGCUACAUGGCGUUGGCCGACGUGCAGCCCAUGGGGGUAACCGCCUGCUGCUGCUCUCCGCUCAAGCGCGCCAAGACUGCUCCUGCUGUCUUGUAA